UUCUUCUGAUUUUUCACAUUGAACCAUGUCCGCGUUUAUGUCUUCUGUGCUGCCACUGGCCAAAGACACUACAUUUUCCGAUCUUUCAUGGAGUAUGGCAUCUUCAACUAUUUCAUCUUGAUGGCCUUGAGGGGCUUUAUCAUUGAUCUGCAAUGCCUGUCAAAUUUUAAUACAAGGAAAGAUCAGUUGCUAUUUUGUUCUCUUUAAUUAGCAGAACUAUUAUAUCAAAGUUAAGACUUUAGAUAGCUCAGAAGAUGCUAAAUUAAGUAGACAACACCGACUUUGCUCAAAUGACAUUUUUGAGGAAUUUAAGAUGCUCAGCAAAAGCAACAAUCCAAGAUUUCAGGUUUUUAGGGAACUCCAAUUUACAGAACUUCAAUACAAUGUCAGGUUUCCCCCUCUUUUUUUUUCCUCAAUUAUGGGCAAACCAAGGUCAACCUGAUGUAACUCUUGCUGUUUAUGAAACUGUGUAAAAAGCUGAUUGGACAGAUGUCCUGGUGCCAAUCUGAACUUAACAACUCCAUGUUGAUUAUCUGAUAAUUUCAUUAGAUUGGUGGGAUACAACAGUCUUCAAAAGAAAAAUUAGCAACAGACCAACAGAUUUUAACCUCAAAUUCAAGGAAAAAGAUGACUUAACAAGAAACUAAGAGACCAAGUUGCGUUUAGAAGUUCUAAUAAACAAGCUGUUGGAAUAUAUGGCCUGUGGGAACAGGUCUCACAUCAGCAACAUACAAGGAAAUUAAAGGGCAUGUAAGUGUUGGCAAACCAAACCAACAAAAGCAAUAUAUACUACCUUCACACGCCGCUGUUUCUCCUGUGCAUCACUUCCUCUAGAAUCUUGAUCAGGACUGAUGUAAUCCAAGAGAUCUGAUACGCUGCAACAAAGGGUCGCAGAUUUUGGUACCUCUAGCUAUAGUUGCUGAUCCAAAAAGAAGUAAUG
rnacentral:misc_RNA from 1 species